AUACUUACCUGGCAGGGGAGAUACCACGAUCGUGAAUGUGAUUUUCCCAGGGCGAGGCUUAUCCAUUGCACUCCGUAAUUUCCCCAAAUCUGGGAAACCCGACUGUGUAAUUUGUGGUAGUGGAGGACUGCAUUCGCGCUUUCUCCUG
rnacentral:snRNA from 1 species